AGCUUACACUCUAAUGCUGGCCAAUAAUGCUACAAAAUAUCCAAAACUUCACGCCAUGAAAAGAAAAGUUGUUUGGUUGUAUGUGCUUUCUAAUAUACAUACAUAGACCUUACUAAAAUACAUAUUUUAAUAUAAGUAUAUUAAACUUUCAGUCUUACAAAUGUAAUCUACAACCUAUCGUAUAAUUCGUUAUAUCUAGAUUAACAACAAGUACAAAUGUGAUCUUCAAAGGUUCAAAGGCUAUCAGGGUCGUAAUUUUGAUGUCGAAAUUUUGGAUAUCAUUCAUAGAUCUACCUCUGAGCUUACUGCUUGGGCAAUUCAAAGAGAAUACGAAAAGGAGAGAAGGCGGCAAAUUCAGCAAAAGCAAAUUUUAGGCAGACCAAAUGACGACUUUCGCAGAAAGAUCUUAGAAGAAUUGAAACAAUGUUUUUUAAUUAGUCAGGAAGAAGAAAUCAAAAACGAAGAAAUCAAAAAGCUGGAAGUAGAAAUGAUGAAAGACCGAAUCCACGAAGAACUCCUCUGGUUUAAGCAUGAGAAAGAACUUAAGAAAGAACUAGAAGUGGCUAAGGGAAUGUUUUUUCAAUUAUUAGAUGUUCGGGUAAAGUAGAUAGUUAUUUAUUGUCCAUUUUCCAAAACAAUACAAAUAUUGUCUUCUCAUGUUACAAUUAUGCUAAUAUAUAUUUCUGACUAUAUAACAACUAAAAGUUACUUUGGAUUUCUUGCUACAUAUUUCCAACUCUGUUGCAAGUAUAGGUUGAGGCCUUUAUGGCUAGACAUUUACCAGGUUCUACAAAUAUUUGUAAUAACCAGUUGAUUUCUCCGAACAUUACUUUAGGAUUGUAAUAGUAUAUAGUUCUCUUUAAAAGGAUUAGUUGGAAAGACACUACAAGUCACAAAAAAGCAAUUUUAUUGAACUCAGUGGUGUCGUAGUGGGGUUGACCC